rnacentral:rRNA from 1 species
AUUGAACGCUGGCGGCAGGCCUAACACAUGCAAGUCGAACGGUAACAGGAAGCAGCUUGCUGCUUUGCUGACGAGUGGCGGACGGGUGAGUAAUGUCUGGGAAACUGCCUGAUGGAGGGGGAUAACUACUGGAAACGGUAGCUAAUACCGCAUAACGUCGCAAGACCAAAGAGGGGGACCUUCGGGCCUCUUGCCAUCGGAUGUGCCCAGAUGGGAUUAGCUAGUAGGUGGGGUAACGGCUCACCUAGGCGACGAUCCCUAGCUGGUCUGAGAGGAUGACCAGCCACACUGGAACUGAGACACGGUCCAGAGUCCUACGGGAGGCAGCAGUGGGGAAUAUUGCACAAUGGGCGCAAGCCUGAUGCAGCCAUGCCGCGUGUAUGAAGAAGGCCUUCGGGUUGUAAAGUACUUUCAGCGGGGAGGAAGGGAGUAAAGUUAAUACCUUUGCUCAUUGACGUUACCCGCAGAAGAAGCACCGGCUAACUCCGUG